GGCACCAUGGCUUAGCUGGCUAAAGCACCUGUUUCGUAAACAGGAGAUCCUGGGUUCGACUCCCUGUGGUGCCU
rfam:Chelonia mydas contig173318, whole genome shotgun sequence.